UACGAAGGGGGCUAGCGUUGCUCGGAAUCACUGGGCGUAAAGGGUGCGUAGGCGGGUCUUUAAGUCAGGGGUGAAAUCCUGGAGCUCAACUCCAGAACUGCCUUUGAUACUGAGGAUCUUGAGUUCGGGAGAGGUGAGUGGAACUGCGAGUGUAGAGGUGAAAUUCGUAGAUAUUCGCAAGAACACCAGUGGCGAAGGCGGACUCACUGGCCCGUAACUGACGCUGAGGCACGGAAGCGUGGGGAGCAAACAGGG
rnacentral:rRNA from 1 species